rnacentral:rRNA from 1 species
UACGAAGGGGGCUAGCGUUGCUCGGAAUCACUGGGCGUAAAGGGUGCGUAGGCGGGUCUUUAAGUCAGGGGUGAAAUCCUGGAGCUCAACUCCAGAACUGCCUUUGAUACUGGCGAUCUUGAGUCCGGGAGAGGUGAGUGGAACUGCGAGUGUAGAGGUGAAAUUCGUAGAUAUUCGGAGGAACACCAGUGGCGAAGGCGGCUCGCUGGCUCGAUACUGACGCUGAGGUGCGAAAGCGUGGGGAGCAAACAGG